CCCCUCUCAGGUUCACACCUGGAGAGUUUCCAGUACUCUACCAGUCUUGGCUAUGGGAGGGAGAGUCAAGCAGAGGCCUACCCAUUCCAUUCCUAGCUUGGACAGUGGCUAGAGAAUGGAAGGCUAUCUGCUUCAAGU
rnacentral:snoRNA from 2 species